rnacentral:sRNA from 1 species
UUUGAAAACAGGUGAAUCGUUGAACUCUGUGAAGAGCGUCUAAACAACGUGCAGUAGAUGAUUUGGGAUCAGACCUUGCUGUCGUUUGAUGGGAUACUGUCGAUUGAUGAGUUGAGAAGUAUGGUGACAUAUGACGAACGAGGAGUAAAAGCUCCUUAAGGCGAAGAAUCAUGCAAAGUAUUGCUAGAUAUAAGGUAUCGUAGCUUACGGGGAGGACAAUAAAAAGCGUAGCGAAAAACGCUCGCCUCUCCUUGCUGGCGCUUAAAAAGGGAUUUUUAAGAAAGUCGAAGGAACAUCCAACCAACUCCUAUGCUGUGAAGGUUAGAAAUAACCUAUAACGUAAGAAGCGAGUAAAAGUAGCUCAAAGGCAGAAAUUAAACCUAGUUAUGGUAGACAAAUUGACUGAAUGUUUGAGUGAAAUUUGUGGUCCGUUGUGAUCGACAGCACUUAAGGUUGUUUUCAACUGUAUAAAGCAAGAGAAAGUUUCAGGUCGCUCCUGAGGCUCAGUCUUCUUGGGUGCGUGACUGAAUAAUAUCACACCAAUAUGGCGUAGAGAGAAAUACUCCAAUGAUUCAUUUGUUUUG